AGUUAGCACGCAAUCGACUUAAAAGAAAGCAAGUAAUUGAAAUGACUUCGAAAUAAAACAUAAAUCUCAAAUAAAACAAACUUAAGAAGCUGAUAAAUUUAAAUAUUGGGCCGGGGGCUUAGUAAGGCAACCUUCAGUGCCAUCCAGAAUCCAUAAAAAACAGUAGGCCGACCAUCUAAAAGAGUUGACAGCAAAUUCAUAUUUGCAGAAAAUUUAAUUGACCAAGUCCAUAAAUAGGAAGCAAGCAGCACAGUUUGCCUAUCCUGAUCAGUUGAAUGCGACAGUCGAAACAUCACACAGAGAAUUUCACACCUUCAUCAUCAGUUGAAGUUCCCUUGAAGAUUGCAAGCUUCCCUUUGUGUUCUAGUAGUUUCAAUGCCCGCAUCAAAAUUGUGCGAUCUAUCCCGUGAAGCUCUGUUCCCCGAGAUUCAAUUCCUGAGCGUAUUUCCUCAAUAGUCAUAACGCCAUCCUCUAAACCAUUGUCCUUCACAAAACGUAAAAUAAUGUCAGCCCAAUCUUGGAUGCGAUGCCACAAAAUAAGGCAUUUCCUAUGUCCUUUGUCUAACCAUUCUGCGCGGCCUUCUGUAACUAAUGCUGAGAGAAAUGCUUUUCUAGCUUCAUGACUGAGAGAUCUUUCAAUCACAGGGUUAGAGAAUAAGGGAAAUUCUUCUUCCAAUUCAAUCACAAAUAUGUGCUGUGUUUUACAAUAAUCAAGGAUAAAAUCCUUCCAGAGCUGUACUUGCUUCUCUCGAGUGUCCCUAACUGGCUGCAGGGACACUCGAGAGAAGUAUGGUGGGUAAUUGAAGAACUGGGGUAGUUUGAAAUCACCCAAUUUCUGCAUCUCUUUGGUGCUCUCUCUAGAAAAGAAGCUACAACUGCAUCGCUUUUUUCCCUCCUUGUUUUCCAAACAGAGAGGAAACUAGGUUUUGAUUGAUUAAAAAGUUUCGAUUAGGCCCCAGUUGAUCAGAUAGCGAAUCGACAAUCAAGUUGCUGUUUAACGUGUGAGAACGGAAACGAAAAGACGACAAACGAAAUCGAAUGAAGAAGAAAGCUCCUCUUCACGCCGGAGAUAUUGAUCGCGGUGCGAGUGAUCGGCAAUCACAUAGAAACACGACAGAUUUGGCUGCAGUUCAGAGUCUUUUAUUGCCAAAUCCCAAACAAAACAUUACCUUAAAGUUG
rnacentral:misc_RNA from 1 species